rnacentral:rRNA from 1 species
UGGGGAAUAUUGCACAAUGGGCGCAAGCCUGAUGCAGCCAUGCCGCGUGUGUGAAGAAGGCCUUCGGGUUGUAAAGCACUUUCAGCGAGGAGGAAGGUGGUGAGCUUAAUACGCUCAUCAAUUGACGUUACUCGCAGAAGAAGCACCGGCUAACUCCGUGCCAGCAGCCGCGGUAAUACGGAGGGUGCAAGCGUUAAUCGGAAUUACUGGGCGUAAAGCGCACGCAGGCGGUUUGUUAAGUCAGAUGUGAAAUCCCCGGGCUCAACCUGGGAACUGCAUUUGAAACUGGCAAGCUAGAGUCUCGUAGAGGGGGGUAGAAUUCCAGGUGCAGCGGUGAAAUGCGUAGAGAUCUGGAGGAAUACCGGUGGCGAAGGCGGCCCCCCUGGACGAAGACUGACGCUCAGGUGCGAAAGCGUGGGGCAGCAAACAGGAUUAGAUACCCUGGUAGUCCACGCUGUAAACGAUGUCGAUUUGGAGGUUGUGCCCUUGAGGCGUGGCUUCCGGAGCUAACGCGUUAAAUCGACCGCCUGGGGAGUACGGCCGCAAGGUUAAAACUCAAAUGAAUUGACGGGUCUAGCUG